rnacentral:rRNA from 1 species
GGGGAAUAUUGCACAAUGGGCGAAAGCCUGAUGCAGCGACGCCGCGUGAGGGAUGACGGCCUUCGGGUUGUAAACCUCUUUCAGUAGGGAAGAAGCCUUUCGGGGUGACGGUACCUGCAGAAGAAGCGCCGGCUAACUACGUGCCAGCAGCCGCGGUAAUACGUAGGGCGCAAGCGUUGUCCGGAAUUAUUGGGCGUAAAGAGCUCGUAGGCGGCUUGUCGCGUCUGCUGUGAAAACGCAAGGCUUAACCUUGCGCCUGCAGUGGGUACGGGCAGGCUAGAGUGCGGUAGGGGAGACUGGAAUUCCUGGUGUAGCGGUGGAAUGCGCAGAUAUCAGGAGGAACACCGGUGGCGAAGGCGGGUCUCUGGGCCGUUACUGACGCUGAGGAGCGAAAGCAUGGGGAGCGAAC